rnacentral:piRNA from 1 species
AGAUGCACUCGGGAACUUCC